UGCCCAGCAACUCCUAUCUCUACCUUCACGCAGUACCGGCCGGAAACUAUGAGCAACCUUAGGGAAGAUCGGGUAAUCACCCCGGUGGGAACUUUGGUCGUAGGCUGACAGGGAGGG
rnacentral:ribozyme from 1 species